GUAUAAAUGAAAAGGAGGUCUUAUCUCUUGGACAGACACUUCACAUCAUCUGACACCAACGCUGAAUUUACAAAGGGACAUCACCCAAGCUGAACUGCCACAGACUCGGAAGCAGCUGUAGAGCCGGAGUAUCUGCCGUCCCGCUGAGUAAUCCAGAGCAUCACAACGCCCAGAGAAAUACAAGAUGGCUGCUGGCUGCAUCUCUCAUCGUUUUGAAUACCCUUCAAGGUUAUAGAGGAAACAAAGAGCAGCCUUGUACUCACUGAGCAGGUGGUAGUUUGAGUCCCUCUCAUAUUUGAAGGUCAGUCUUCCAUAGCUGACAUGGUUGAGAUUCUUCAGCCACUCGAAAUAAGACACUGUCACACCGC